GUUGUAGCUCAGUGGUAGAGCACUUUCCUAGUAUGGGUGAGGUCCUGGGUUUAAUCCCCAGCACCACA
rnacentral:tRNA from 1 species